GGGGUGAGCCCAAACCGUAGAUGUGCCCAGGAUGCAGCCGUUGCAUCUACGGGGUAGCGGGCAGAUCGUCUGAAGCACUCCACCGUAUUCGACCUUAUGAUACGCCGAACUGGAAGGGUCUGGAACGGCCUGCCGUAGAGAGUGAAACCCUCGUACAGGUCACCCGUAUCCACUGUACGAUCUCUCCCAAGUAGCACGGAACACGAGGAAUUCUGUGUGAAUCUGCGAGGACCAUAUCUCGUAAGGCUACAUCCUCUUACUUACCGAUAGCGCAUAGUACCGUGAGGUAAAGUUGAAAAGCACCCCGGGCGGGGAGUGCAAUAGAUCCUGAAAUCGUGUGCUUACAAGCGGUUAGAGCCCUUUGGGUUGAUGGCGUGCCUUUUGGACAAUGAUCCUGCGAGUUACGUUCAGUGGCUAGGUUAAGCGUAACGGAGCUGAGGGGUACCCGAGUCUGCAUAGGGCGAC
rnacentral:rRNA from 1 species